GAAUUUAGAUAUUGAAAUUUUGCAGUAGUUCAAAAUUUUCCCGGUGGAUACUUACCACUUAGACUCGAAAAGUUGAUGGAUGAAACACACUAGACAACCUUCUAACACAAAACGUUGCUUCACAGGCUGGAAAAGGAUGUGAUAAUGUAGGAAGAUGCACUUCCAUUGUAGCUUGUUAAUCGAGGUAGCAUACAUAUACCACAAUGACCUGAUAUGAACUUUGAAAUUGAGUUAUAAGCUUGAGAAUUCGGUUAAUCAUUGCUUCACAGGUUAGGUAAAAGCCGUGAUGAUAUAGGAAGUGGCACAUCCCUUGUAAACUGAUACUUAUUAGUUGAGAUUAGCAUAAGUGGACUUCAAUGUGAUUAACCAUGUACGUUAAUUUUGAAAUCGAGGCAAAAACUCUGGAAUGCUUAAGAAUUCAAUGCUUGGAACCAAUUAUUGGUGUUGGGAGUGUAUUGAUGUAAUAAUUGACAGGAGGUGACAACAAUUACCAAUUAUGCUUUGUUUUUCUAUCUGCUGCUGUGACAUAUAUAUGAAAGGUUUCUUUUCCAGAAUGUAUUGUCAUUCUUGCUUGAUGUAAUUGAAGAGGGCUUGUCCCAAUCACUAAGCUGUGAAGUAGACCAUAUACUUGCCACCUCCUUCUUUUCAUGCUAUACCACUUGACAACUUCCUUGUCUUCUCAUACAUGUUGUUAGGCUAGAAAAUUGUUUGGUUUGAACUAAACUAAUAUAGCUGCUAAACCCGAUCAUCGACGAACUCGAUGUAUUUUGUAAACCCAAGCAAAGAAAUCUGUGAGGCAAAGUCCAGAUUCUCUGCCAUUGAUAGGGGACAUGUCUCAUCAUCCCAUCACUACAACAAAAAAGGAGAGCAAUUGAUCAGGAUGGAGCUGAUGGGACCUCAGAGGUCAGGAAGAAUUCUUUUUCCACCCCUUCAUCGACGAAUCGUUAUGUUCGUGUAUUUGCCUAAUCGAACAAUUCUUAACCAUUUGAAUUUGUUAAGCUUGAAAUGGAAAGACAUGUUUUUUGUAACGAUUUCCCUUGGAGAGGAGAAUAAUUGUAGUGAAAAUUUUGUAUCAAUGUUAAAAAUAAAUUAUAGGGAAUACACCAAAAAAAGGAGGGAAAAAAGAGAAUUAGAAGAGAAAAUGGGAAAUGCUCUUCAUUCAAGCAGUGUUUAUGAAUGUUGUAUCCCACUUGAUCCUUCAAUGCUUAAUUUCUAGAAGUGUUUA